rnacentral:lncRNA from 1 species
UCCAAGGUUGUGCCCACUCGGCACGACCCAGGUUCCAUGCUACAGGCCUCUACUUGUCCAGACCUGAGGGUCAGAUUCAGAUGGUGCAAAUGUUUAAGACCUGGGUCUUCAACGAGAUGAAUUAUCAGCUAUUUCAUAGCUGCAGUGUUGGAUAUGCCGAGACGAUAAAAGCAACAGCAAUCAGAAUCAACAGUUGAAACGACAUGGCAGACGCUGUGAAUGCUAUGAACUGCUGUGCUGAGCAGCAGGAUUCCUGUGUCCUGGCGCAAUGCCCAUGGGGAUUCAUGCUUUCAGAGGGUCACGCCUCAGGAACACGUAGAAGGGCAAGCAUUUCAUCUGGCAGGGCACUGAUUUAAUCUGCACGCAUGUUUGGCUGUAAAACUAGCUCCUCCCCCUUACCAUUUUUGAGUCGCUGCCGGACUCAAAUUCCACAGAUUCUGGAAGGUGUCCAGGAACUCGUUGAUUUGUCAAACUUAUGGCUACACACAGCUGGAAUGGAGACGGACUCCACUGAGGAGACUCAUACAGGACAGGAGGGAAUUUUAAGAGGAUAACCCUGAGAUUGAAAACAUCAAACCAAACCUGAAGCACUGAGAGGUUGGGUAACCAGCUCUGGUCACUGAGUUGGUGAGGGAUGGAUUCAGAAGAGGUCUCCAAUUGUGACACCGCAGAGGACCUGCUCUUGGCCACUACACUCUACCAGCUCUGCAAGAAGGUGAGGGAGGGAGGGUGGAGUGUGAUGGGCUCUUACUGUCUCCAUUCGGUUUUGUCUUAGAUAAAGGGAACUGAGUCCUUAGGCCCCUCCAGCAGGAAAGGCUCACAACAGCAGCCCCUCCGGCCCUGGGGUCAGUCUGUAUUCACACCUAAGGGCAAGCUAAGUUGUGAAUUUGACAGAGGACUUGGACAGUGUCUCUAGUUGUCCCGGUUAUAGCUGUGGUUAGUGUCCACCGAUGGAUGAGGAGAUGCUUCCGGCAGAUUGCUCUCUUAGCCACAAUUCCCUCAUUUAUGGCAGCAAAGCAGGCCAACGAUUGCAAAAGACAGAAAUAAAACAGAAAAUCUUGGAAUGAGCAUCAUCCUGUAAAAAGCAUAGAGUGACAUCAAUAACGGGUAGACACCUUCUCC